rnacentral:tRNA from 1 species
UGAAAUAGCUCAGGUGGUAGAGCAACUGAUUCGUAAUCAGUAGGUCGAGGGUUCGAGUCCCUUUUUCA